rnacentral:lncRNA from 1 species
CCCUGCCAAAACCUCAAUAAGAUGUUGUGCUACCAACAGCAGCGCUUUCCACCUCUCCAUCAAGAGCACAUCCCCAUGAAUUGCCCCCAAACGCACCAUCUGAUGCACAGCUGGCAGUCAGAGCUGUGCACCCCGCAGUACGUGACCCCCUGCGUUCCUCGGCAGCGGUUUCUAUCCUCCAGCUUCUCCCCACAGCAGUGUGUGACCCAGUGCAUACCACGGCAGCAGUAUGCAACCAAGUGCAUCCAACAGACACAGCGUGUGACCCAAUACAUCCCACCCCCCAGGUGUGUGACAACCUGUGUGCCACAGCAGUCAUGUUCCACCCAGGGCACGUUGCAAGAGCCAUGUGUGACCAAAUGCGUGCCCCAGCAGCAGUGUGCAACCAAGUGCAUCCCGCAGCAGCAGUGUGCAACCAAGUGCAUCCCGCAGCAGCAGUGUGCAUCCAGGUGUGUGACCACAUGCGUGCCACAGCAGCCAUUCCUGACCAAGGGAAUCCACCAGCAGCAUAGUACAACCAUGUGCAUCCCACAGCAGUGUGCCACCAAGAGCAUCCCACAACAGCAUCAGUGUGCCACCAAAGGGAUCCCACAUCAGCACCAGUGUGUCACCAAGUGCAUCCCACAGCAGUGUGCCACCAAAGGGAUCCCACAGCAGCAUCAUUGUGCCACCAAGUGUGUCCCACAACAGCAAAGUGUGACCCAGUGCGUCCCACAGCAAUGUGCCACCAAGAGCAUCCCACAACAGCAUCAAUGUGCCACCAAGAGCAUCCCACAGCAGCAUCAUUGUGCCACCAAGUGCAUCCCACAACAGCAUCAAUGUGCCACCAAGUGUGUCCCACAACAGCAAAGUGUGACCCAGUGCGUCCCACAGCAGUGUGCCACCAAGAGCAUCCCACAACAGCAUCAGUGUGUCACCAAGUGCAUCCCACAGCAGUGUGCCACCAAAGGGAUCCUACAACAGCAUCAGUGUGCCACCAAGUGCAUCCCACAACAGCAUCAAUGUACCACCAAGUGUAUCCCACAACAGCAAAGUGUGACCCAGUGUGUCCCACAGCAGCCGUAUCAGUCAGGUGGAGUAAAAAUUUCAAGCCAUGCUAAGAAGUACUGCUCUGCAUCCAAAUGGCCCUGGUAA